rnacentral:lncRNA from 1 species
CCUCGAAUUCCUAUCAACCAUACUAAAUCUUCCAAAAUGGGAUUCCCGCGAACAAAAAUCCUAGAUUUCUUAGGAGCCUUAACAACUACAUGUACGACUAGGAAUAUAACCGAUCAAAUGACGAGAAAGAUGGAAUCUUUCUCGACCUAUCUGCCAAUGAAUCGCAAACCCUCCAAAAAGGGGAGAGGAGUGCCCUAAAGCCGCUAAUUUCUUCGAAGCCUUAUGAAACCAGGAAUCAAACAAACGGAAUAGAAAAUGGAAAAGAUGAGACCUUCCCCGAUC